rnacentral:rRNA from 1 species
UGAUGGCAGAGAGGUCACACCCGUUCCCAUACCGAACACGGAAGUUAAGCUCUCUAGCGCCGAUGGCAGUUGGGACCUUGUCCCUGUGAGAGUAGGACGUCGCCAAGCU